rnacentral:rRNA from 2 species
CAGAAUUCCGCGAAUCAUCGAGUCUUUGAACGCAAGUUGCGCCCGAGGCUUGACCAAGGGCAUCCCUGCCAGAGCGUCACCGCGACACCCACCGAUCCGCUCCCAGCUAGCUCUGGGAGUGCGACCGAGUGAAGCUGGGCCAUCCGAAUGGGGGCCACACCACCACCCGGGACUUCGUGUGCCUUGGGGUGGGGUGGCGGAUUGGGUUGGCUGAAAUGGAGGCAAUUUGGCCGCCGUGGUGACACAGCCCGCGAUCAGGUGAUCCGGGUCUCAUCUUGGAACUACUUCUAGAAGUGGUGCUGUGUCUCCCAGUUGGUACCGAAUUUCCAAAGCAGGUCCCGGACACUCCCCCGCCCUGCGAGGGGAGUGUCCCGAGGUGUAACGUCACGCAUCAGACCUCUGAUCAGGGAAGACCACCCGCUGAAUU